rnacentral:rRNA from 1 species
UACGUAGGGUGCAAGCGUUGUCCGGAAUUAUUGGGCGUAAAGAGCUCGUAGGCGGUCUGUCGCGUCUGCUGUGAAAACCUAGGGCUUAACUCUGGGCGUGCAGUGGGUACGGGCAGGCUAGAGUGCGGUAGGGGAGACUGGAAUUCCUGGUGUAGCGGUGAAAUGCGCAGAUAUCAGGAGGAACACCGGUGGCGAAGGCGGGUCUCUGGGCCGUAACUGACGCUGAGGAGCGAAAGCAUGGGGAGCGAACAGA